GAUGAACGCUGGCGGCGUGCCUAAUACAUGCAAGUCGAGCGAACGGACGAGAAGCUUGCUUCCCUGCUGUUAGCGGCGGACGGGUGAGUAACACGUGGAUAACCUACCUAUAAGACUGGGAUAACUUCGGGGAACCGGAGCUACUACCAGCUAAUAUGUUGAACCGCAUGGUUCAAAAGUGAAAGACGGUCUUGCUGUCUCAUAUAGAUGGAUCCGCGCUGCAUUAGCUAGUUGGUAAGGUAACGGCUUACCAAGGCAACGAUGCGUAGCCGACCUGAGAGGGUGAUCGGCCACACUGGAACUGAGACACGGUCCAGACUCCUACGGGAGGCAGCAGUAGGGAAUCUUCCGCAAUGGGCGAAAGCCUGACGGAGCAACGCCGCGUGAGUGAUGAAGGCCUUCGGAUCGUAAAACUCUGUUAUUAGGGAAGAACAGAUGUGUAAUUAACUGUGCACAUCUUGACGGUACCUAAUCAGAAAGCCACGGCUAACUACGUG
rnacentral:rRNA from 1 species